UAAUAAAGAAUUUUCUAUCUUCACGUCUGCAUAUGUUGCAAAAGAUGCCAUCGCAGAGCAGACUAAAUGGCUCUACCUUUGUGAAUUCCCUGGUUUAUAUCAAUUUUAUUUAUUUAUAUUGAUUGCCCUAUGAGUCUGUUUUCUCUUUCUAUUUGAGAUUCAUAUUGAAGCAUUGACACAAGCAAAAGGGGUUACUCCUAAGUGAGUUUAAAAAAAAAAAAAGUUUAUUUUUUUCUUAAUAUUUGC